CUUUUUAGUCCCUGUGUAAUAAGUAUUUGUGUUAAUAAGAAGAUAUCAGGAGGUAAUCCACUGUUAUUUAGUGUGGUAGCUCUCUCAUAUAUUUGAAAAAAAUAAAUAAAAAAAAGCAUGAAAUUCGACUAUGAAUGCUUAGAAGAACCAAAUUGGCCAACAAUUCCAAGUGUGUCUGCUGAAGUUACCAAAAACAUGCAUAAAUGGUGUGGCAAAAUAUCAUAGAUUGUUUCAGACCUUUUAAAACGACUUAAAAUUCUUGAAGAUGAAAAGAUAAAUAACUUAACAGCAACAACAAAUAAACCAACAACAAUAUUCACAUAUGCACAAGCAACAUUAAUUCAGAAAAAUCAAUUAAAACCAAAAGAAACUGAAGUGGUAAUGAUGACAAAAAUUACAAACGAGUUUAAUAAUAAAAAAAGAAUUGAAAACAACAUCAUUAUAAGUGGAGUUGCUGAUCAUACUACUUUAGACAAACAAGUUAAUGAAGAAAAUGAUAAACAAACCAUUGAAACAAUACUAAAAGCAAUUAAACCAGAUUUUUCAAUAACAAAUGCAAUAAGAAUAAUUCGACUAACUAAAAAUGCUAAAAGACCAGAAGGACCACCUGACCUUAUCUUAGUUGAAUUGGAGAACAAAGAAACUUAAAAUUUUAUAAUUAAAAGUUCUAAAAAGUUAAAGGACAGUAUUAACUUCAAAAAUAUUUUUAUUAAAAAAGACUAAACAGCAAAUGAGAGAUUGUUCGAAAGUGAACUCAGAAAAGUUAGAAAUACUAGAAAUGCAGCACUUGCUCAAGAGAUUGAGGGAACAAAUGGGAGGUAACGAUACAAUGUGCACAAUGGAAAAAAUAUUAUUGGGGUAUACGAUCAGGUGAACUCAAAUGGAUCGAAAUUAAAUCAACAUAAUUUACAUAUAAAAAUUAAAAGAACCUCUGCAUUAAAUUUGGGUAUCCAAAAUGUUCAAUCUGCCAUGAAAAAAUCUGCUAUCAUUCAUGAUAUAGUGCAAAAUCAUUCUCUAGAUAUUUUUAUACUCACUGAAACUUGGAUAAAGUUGGACAACUCUACUGCAAUUAAAGAAGAUAUGGCCCCACCAGGCUUUAAAACAAUUCAAUACUGCCGAUCAGACCAUCGUGGAGGAGGCGUUGCAAUAAUAUAUAAAGACAACUUAAAUAUCAAGCUCUCAUUAUCAUCUACCUGUCUGUCUUAUGAACGUACAUCAGCUAAACUAAAUCUGGCAAAUACUAUCUACAAUAUUGUUGCUAUUUAUCGAUCAAAUCCAAUCAUUCCAACAAACAUUUUCUUUUUCAAAUUAUCUGAACUCCUAGAGGAACUUCAAACAUUAUCUGGAGAAAUACUUCUGUGUGGUGACUUUAACUGUCCAGGUACUACUUCAAUAACCUGCAAUUCAAGACUUAAUGAGAUUUUAGAGACCUACAACAUGAUACAACGAGUUCAAUCUCCAACUCGCAUAUCAUCUACUACUGGUAUAGCCAACUUGCUUGAUCUUGUAAUAAAUCGACAUGAUGAUAUUUUACUCAAGAGUAUCCAAGUAACUGACGAGGGUAUUUCAGAUCACUAUAUGAUUCGGGUAGAACUUUAUCAUCAACCUUCAAAUAUUAAAACUGUUUAGUUAUCAAAACGAAACUUUAGAAAACUAAACUUGUCAUGCUUUAUAAAAGAAUUGCAAGUGAUGCCAUGUUGCUUAUCACCUGAAAACGAUGUGGAUGAUUAUGCUGAACAAAUAAGAUCAAGUAUAACAACUGUUUUUGAUCAUUUAGCACCCAUUCGAAAAUAUUCAAUGCGAAUUGGUAAACACGAUGAUCAGUGGUUUUCUUCAGAUGCCAAGAAUAAAAAAAUCAGACGUCAUAAACUAGAGCGUUGUUAUAGAAAAACUGGUAGUUUAUCAGAUAAAAAAUUAUAUCGAACUGCACGCCAUGAGUCUGCAGCAGCAAUUCACAAAUCGAGAUGUAUUUUUUAUAAGGCAAAACUAAAUUCAGCAUACGGUGAUCAAAAAGAAACAUGGAACAUUGCCAAGAAAUUACUACAUUCGAAUAGUUCUAAAACUAAUAACACAAUACCAGAAGCAAAAUGCGAUAUAAUAAGUCAAUAUUUCAUACGAAAACUCGAAAUUAUAAAGAACACUAUUCAGGAAAGGCUUGCAAAAACUCCAAUAUCUAAAUUUAUCUCAGAGUUAUCUCCCCCUGUAGAUAUAUUAACAACAUUUGGUACAGUCACACCUAAAGAUGUGUUGAAAAUAAUCAAAACUCUCAAACCUAAGACAUCACCACUUGAUAUUAUUCCAACAAACAUCCUGAAAUCUUGUUCAGAAAUAUUCAGUCCAAUUAUAGCUCGCCUUGCUGACCUCUCAUUUAAAUCCGGAAUUUUCCCAACCUCAUAUAAAGUUGCUCAAAUAACACCAAUUCCCAAAAAAUCAGGACUAGCAGAAUUUGACCUAACAAAUCUACGCCCCAUAUCAAAUCUCAAUACAAUUUCAAAUUAUUGAAAAGCUUGCUUUAUCUUGUCUUUAUCCACAUGCAUCAUCUGUCAACUUCAAUCCUCUACAACCUGGUUUUAGAUCUUAUCACUCAACCAAAACAGCACACUUAAAGAAAUGCAAUGACAUCCUGCUAAACAUUAAUGAUGGUUUGACCACUAUUCUCCUAUCUCUGGACAUAUCUUCAGCAUUUGAUACAAUUGAUCACAGCCUGCUGAUUACCCUAAUUAAGAAUGAUUUUGGUGUCACAGAUAUUACAUUAAAAUGGCUAACAUCAUACUUGCACUCUCGAAAAUCUUUUGUUUCUAUUGGAUCAUCAAAUUCUAGACUAAUAGCAAGUUCAACAGGAGUAACACAGGGUAGUGUAUUAGGCCCAUUUCUAUUCUUCAUGUUUGUUUCACCUACAUAUCGUAUUAUAGCUAAAUUUGGUACAAAUCAUCAUCAAUAUGCUGAUGAUACCCAACUUUAUACUUUCCUCAGCCUUGGCAAAGAUAGCAUCAACAAAAUCACUGAGUGUGCUAAUGCAGUAACAACAUGGUUUCUAGAAAAUGGACUUCUUCUUAAUCCAAAUAAAACAGAAGCUAUUUUAUUUGGAUCUAGAAAACAAACUAGCAAAUAUAAAAAUGAUUUGAAUAUUGCGUUUUCUGGAACCACAAUAACUACAAUAAAUUCAGUAAAAAUCCUUGGAGUCAUCCUAGAUUCAAAGCUCUCUAUGGACAAGCACAUAAACAUUAUUAUUAAAUCCUGCAAUUACCACAUUCGUGCACUUCGCCACAUUCGUCCAUGUCUGACCAAAGAAGCUGCAAACAUAAUUGCUUGUGGCACCUCGUAUUGUUUUCCAUUCUCCUUUCCAUUUAAAAUCAGAAAUAUUGCUGAAAUCUUUUCAUUGGUUAAUACAUCAAACAUAAUCUUCAUUGGUUAAUACAUCAAACCAAUACAUCAAAGAAUAAUCUAUAAUAUAUCAGUUAUCACAUAUAAAAUUUUAUUAUCAAAAUCCCCUGCAUAUUUAUUUGAGCUCCUAGAAGUCCGAACUUCAAAACAAAAUACAAGAUCAUAAGACCGUUGCCAACUUACACGUCGUCAACAAAAAACCUCCCUAGGCUCAAAAUCUUUUUGUAUGACUGCACCUCCAAUUUGGAAUGGUUUAUCUUUGAACACGCAAAACUCAACUUCUAUAGAAAUAUUCAAUAUAUAUGUAUAUAUAUAUAAAUUUCAUGUAUAUAUAUAUAAAUUCUGAAUGGUAUUCUUCUUUGUGUUACAUUAUAAAAGUUUUAUAAUAAAAAUCAGUCCUGAUCUGCAAAAAAGUUUGACCUCUGGAAUUAUAUCUAUUUAUAAUCAAUUGCUUUUACUCUUCCAUAAUGUCAUAUUUUAUUAAGAAUAUCACAUUAUGGAAACCCGUCUGACACAUACAUAUAAGAGGAACGAUUAAACUUUUAAUACAACCAAUUAUAUUACAUUUUUUUUUAAUUUUAGAUGAACUUUUUUGCUUCGGCUAGAGGAGAUGAUUACAAACAACAUUCAGUGGGAACCUUAAUACAGCUAAUGGUCAAAGAAGUAUGUUUUUCGUGCUUAAUGUAUGGAAGGAAACAAAUACGUUCUGCAAGGUCGUUUUAGCUGUUGUACUGUUAAACUGAAGAUGGCAAUGAAGUUUAGAAAAUUUGCUCUAGAUGAAUUUUUUAAUAGAAAAACAACAUGUGUGCAAUGUAUGUAACCUAUUUUUCAUGGCUGAUCAAUGAAAGUUUGAUGUAUUGGCCAAAUCACUUGCAAGCAUCUUACUUUUUGGCUGCCAUACGUGAAGCCACGCUUCUAAAAGUAACUGGGAGCAGUUGAUAAUAAUUUUGCUUUAUUUUUUUGCUGAUGUACCGUUAAACUGAAGGUGGUAAUAAAGUUUACAAAAUUUGCUCUGGCUGAAUUUUUUAAUGAAAAAACAAUAUGUGUGCUUCGAAUGUAAUCUGUUUUUCAUGGUGUUUCAAUGAAAGUUUGGUGUAUUGGCCAAAUCAUCUUGCCUUUAAGCUGCCAUACGUAAAGUCACGCUUUUAAAAGUAACUGAAAGCAGCUGAAAAUAAGAAUUUUUUGAUGAACUUUCUUACUUCGGUUGGAGGAGAUGAGAAACAACUUACAGCGGCAAUCUUAAUACAGCUAAUGGCCAAAGAAGUAUGUUUUUCAUACUAAGUGUAUGGAAUGAAACAAAAACGUCCUGCAAGGUCGUUAUAGAGUUGCGUUUAGUCAUUUAUCGUUGUAUUCGUUCAUUUCGAAAUCGCUACUGACAAAAGUAUUAAAGAAAAAAUUGGCAGCUUUCUGGCGACGGCCAUUAAUAGAGAUUACGGAA